GCCCAGAUGGUGGAAUUGGUAGACACGCUACUUUGAGGGGGUAGUGCCGGCUUCGGCAUGCAAGUUCGAGUCUUGUUCUGGGCA
rnacentral:tRNA from 1 species